rnacentral:rRNA from 1 species
CACGUAGGGUGCGAGCGUUGUCCGGAAUUAUUGGGCGUAAAGAGCUCGUAGGCGGUGUGUCGCGUCGGCCGUGAAAACCUGCAGCUUAACUGUGGGCUUGCGGUCGAUACGGGGCAUCACUGGAGUUCGGCAGGGGAGACUGGAAUUCCUGGUGUAGCGGUGAAAUGCGCAGAUAUCAGGGAGGGAACACCGGUGGCGAAGGCGGUUCUCUGGGAAUGACCUGACGCUGGAGGAGCGAAAAGUGUGGGGGAG